GAGUUUGAUCCUGGCUCAGAUUGAACGCUGGCGGAAUGCUUUACACAUGCAAGUCGAACGGCAGCACGGGUGCUUGCACCUGGUGGCGAGUGGCGAACGGGUGAGUAAUACAUAGGAACAUACCCAGUAAUGGGGGAUAACGCCGAGAAAUCGGUGCUAAUACCGCAUACGCCCUACGGGGGAAAGCGGGGGAUCUUCGGACCUCGCGUUAUUGGAUUGGCCUAUGUCUGAUUAGCUAGCUGGUGAGGUAAAGGCUCACCAAGGCUUCGAUCAGUAGCUGGUCUGAGAGGAUGAUCAGCCACACUGGAACUGAGACACGGUCCAGACUCCUACGGGAGGCAGCAGUGGGGAAUUUUGGACAAUGGGCGAAAGCCUGAUCCAGCCAUUCCGCGUGAGUGAAGAAGGCCUUCGGGUUGUAAAGCUCUUUCGGCAGGAACGAAAUGGUCACGGUUAAUAACUGCGACUUCUGACGGUACCUGAAGAAGAAGCACCGGCUAACUACGUGCCAGCAGCCGCGGUAAUACGUAGGGUGCGAGCGUUAAUCGGAAUUACUGGGCGUAAAGCGUGCGCAGGCGGUUUUGUAAGUCAGAUGUGAAAGCCCCGGGCUUAACCUGGGGAAUGGCGUUUGAAACUACAAGGCUAGAGUGUGUC
rnacentral:rRNA from 1 species